AAUUUUGGACAAUGGGGGGAACCCUGAUCCAGCCAUUCCGCGUGUGCGAUGAAGGCCUUCGGGUUGUAAAGCACUUUUGGCAGGAAAGAAAUCGCACGGACUAAUACUCUGUGUGGAUGACGGUACCUGCAGUAUAAGCAUCGGCUAACUACGUGCCAGCAGCCGCGGUAAUACGUAGGUUGCAAGCGUUAAUCGGAAUUACUGGGCGUAAAGCGUGUGCAGGCGGUUCGGAAAGAAGGAUGUGAAAUCCCAGGGCUCAACCUUGGAACUGCAUUCUUAACUACCGGGCUAGAGUGUGUCAGAGGGAGGUGGAAUUCCGCGUGUAGCAGUGAAAUGCGUAGAUAUGCGGAGGAACACCGAUGGCGAAGGCAGCCUCCUGGGAUAACACUGACGCUCAGGCACGAAAGCGUGGGGAGUAAACA
rnacentral:rRNA from 1 species